GCUGAAUAAAAACUGUAGAAGCUUCUCCAAAAUUCAAUUUUAAAGAACAUUUCCUGAAGGAGAUAAGACCCUCGCUAAAAAGACUAUCUCAGUAACUUUGGGGCCUCCUUCCUUCAACUGUGAACUCAGUUCCCAAGACCAAAAUAGAAGGUUCAAACGGGAAGCGAGAGAAAAUUAAAAAACUGAGGCUUGAGGCUCUCUUCAAGAUGUAAAAGUGACUGUCAUCUAUGCUCACUCCAAUCUGUUAGCAUAAUAAUUACUUCUGUAUUUUUAAAUCUACUCUGAAAUACAAAGAAUUAAGAGUCGUCAUUUUGUAAUACAUGGAUAAAAGAAACUCGUUAUAAUUUAAACUUUUUUCAUUAACUGUGGCACCUGAUAUAAGUACAUCUAAGAAAGCAUCUUAUUCAUUAAGGUAAAAAUGAAGAAUUGUACCAUGAUUUACUUGAUCAUAACUGACUUUCAAAAGGAACUUAUUAAAGAGAUCCAGUCCUGGA